rnacentral:rRNA from 1 species
UUUUAAAUGAUUUGAGAUGGCCUCUCGCCCUAUUCAGUGUAACAGCUGUGGUAGUGGGUUUGGUCGCUCGCAUUUAAAUUGGAAGGGUAAUGGUGGACCGCACUUCUCCCUUAGUAGGACGUUGCGACCUGUCAAAUAAUAUCCUAAGUAUUUGGCUAAUUUGUCUGUUUUUAGGCAGUACUGAAAGGUAUUUCCUUUAACAGUUUUAGCCGUUAACAUACUGGAUAUAAUUGACAGUAACGAAUCAUGGUGUUGAGCCACUUACUUUGUAAGUGUCCUUUAUGGCUGUUUGCAAGUGGGUUGGUUAAUUAGUUUUAGUCGGAUUUUGGUCCGUCUAACUAUUCCGCCUACUGUUGGUAAACUGUUCCUUGGACAGUGCUUAUAACACCGGUCGGCAGCGAUUCAGGUUCAGGCUCUUAUCCGACCCGUCUUGAAACACGGACCAAGGAGUUUAGCGUGUACGCAAGUCAUUGGGUGUAUAAAACCCAAAGGCGCAAUG